rnacentral:rRNA from 1 species
AACGAACGCUGGCGGCAUGCCUAACACAUGCAAGUCGAACGAGACCUUCGGGUCUAGUGGCGCACGGGUGCGUAACGCGUGGGAACCUGCCCUUAGGUUCGGAAUAACUCCCCGAAAGGGGUGCUAAUACCGGAUAAUGUCUUCGGACCAAAGAUUUAUCGCCCUUGGAUGGGCCCGCGUUGGAUUAGCUAGUUGGUAGGGUAAAAGCCUACCAAGGCGACGAUACAUAGCUGGUCUGAGAGGAUGAUCAGCCACACUGGGACUGAGACACGGCCCAGACUCCUACGGGAGGCAGCAGUGGGGAAUAUUGGACAAUGGGCGAAAGCCUGAUCCAGCAAUGCCGGGUGAGUGAUGAAGGCCUUAGGGUUGUAAAGCUCUUUUACCCGGGAUGAUAAUGACAGUACCGGGAGAAUAAGCACCGGCUAACUCCGUG